AGAGCGAACGUUCGCGGCGGGCCUAACACAUGCAAGUCGAACGAGUUUGUCCUUCGGGGCAAGCAAGUGGCGCACGGGUGAGUAACGCGUAGGUAAUCUACCUUCUGGAGGGGGAUAACUAACCGAAAGGUUAGCUAAUACCGCAUAAGCUCACGGGGUCUUUGGACUCUGAGAGAAAAGGUGGCCUCUACUUGUAAGCUACCACCGGAAGAUGAGCCUGCGUCCCAUCAGCUAGUUGGUAGGUAAUGGCCUACCAAGGCGAAGACGGGUAGCUGGUCUGAGAGGAUGAUCAGCCACACUGGCA
rnacentral:rRNA from 1 species